rnacentral:rRNA from 1 species
AUUGAACGCUGGCGGCGUGCCUAAUACAUGCAAGUCGAGCGAAGAGGGGACGGGGGAGUAACACGUGGAUAACCUCCCAUAAGACUGGGAUAACCUCGGGAAAACGGUACUAAUCCGGAUACUUAUAGCUGGAUGCGCGCUGCAUUAGCUAGUUGGUCAGGUAACGGCUUACCAAGGCAACGAUGCAUAGCCGACCUGAGAGGGUGAUCAGCCACACUGGAACUGAGAAACGGUCCAGACUCCUACGGGAGGCAGCAGUGGGGAAUCUUCCGCAAUGGGCGAAAGCCUGACGGAGCAACGCCGCGUGUGUGAUGAAGGUCUUCGGAUCGUAAAGCUCUGUUAUUGGGGAAGCGGUACCUAAUCAGAAAGCCACGGCUAACUACGUGCCAGCAGCCGCGGUAAUUC